rnacentral:rRNA from 1 species
AAUGAACGCUGGCGGCAUGCCUAACACAUGCCAGUCGAACGACAGCACCGUAAGCGCUUGCUCUUGCGGGUGGCGAGCGGCGGACGGGUGACGUAUGCAUCGGAUACCUCUUUGACGGGGGGGAUAACGCCGGGAAACUUCUGCUAACAAAGCAUAUGUCGCACGGGUGUGUGCAGGCGUUCUUCGCACCUUUCGCGAUUGUAAGAGCCGAUGUCGGAUUAGCUAGUUGGCGGGGUAAAGGCACACCAAGGCGACGCUCCGUAGCAGGUCUGAGCGGGUGAUCAGCCACACUGGAACUGAGACACGGUCCAGACACCUACGGGAGGCAGCAGUAGGGAAUCUUGCGCAAUGGGCGAAAGCCUGAUCCAGCAACACCGCGUGAGUGAUGAAGGCCUUCGGAUGGUAAAGCCCUGUUGUUGGGAAAGAAAAGAAGCAGGUUUAUCCGCGGUGAUUAUGACGGUACCCAAAGAAUAAGCACCGGCUAACUUCGUG